rnacentral:rRNA from 1 species
CCCCUACGGGAGGCAGCAGUCGGGAAUAUUGCACAAUGGAGGAAACUCUGAUGCAGUGACACCGCGUAUAGGAAGAAGGUUUUCGGAUUGUAAACUAUUUUAGACAGGGAAGAAAAAAGACAGUACCUGUAGAACAAGCAUCGGCUAACUCCGUGCCAGCAGCCGCGGUAAUACGGAGGAUGCGAGCGUUAUCCGGAUUUAUUGGGUGUAAAGGGUGCGCAGGCGGCACGGCAAGCCGGCGGUCAAAUCGCGGGG